rnacentral:misc_RNA from 1 species
UCUCCGUAGGUGAACCUGCGGAGGGAUCAUUACUGAGUGAGGGCCUCCGGGCCUGACCUCCAACCCUUUUGUGAACCACCUCGUUGCUUCGGGGGCUACCCUGCCGUUCGCGGCUGAGCGCCCCCGGAGCCCAUCAAACCCUGCGUCACUAAGUCGUCGGAGUUUAAACAAAUUAAACAAAACUUUCAACAACGGAUCUCUUGGUUCGGGCAUCGAUGAAGAACGCAGC